GCUUGUCUCAAAGAUUAAGCCAUGCAUGUCUCAGUAUAAGUUCCUGUACGGCGAAACUGCGAAUGGCUCAUUAAAACAGUUACAGUUUAUUUGAUGGUCGUUCCUUACAUGGAUAACUGUGGUAAUUCUAGAGCUAAUACAUGCACCCGUGCCCGACUUUGUGGAAGGGUUGUGUUUAUUAGAUAAAAAGCCAAUCCAUGCUCUGCAUGGUAUUGUGGUGACUCAUAAUAACCGAUCGAAUCGCAUGGCGUAAGCCGGCGAUAAAUCAUUCAAGUUUCUGACCUAUCAGCUUCCGACGGUAGGGUAUUGGCCUACCGUGGCUAUGACGGGUAACGGGGAAUUAGGGUUCGAUUCCGGAGAGGGAGCCUGAGAAACGGCUACCACAUCUAAGGAAGGCAGCAGG
rnacentral:rRNA from 1 species